GUCUACGGCCAUGGCACACUGAACACACCCGAUGUCUGAUCUCGGAAGCUAAGCGGGGUUGGGCCUGGUUAGUACUUGGAUGGGAGACUGCCUAGGAAGACCAGGUGCUGUAGGCA
rfam:Pteropus alecto contig98867, whole genome shotgun sequence.